CUUUCAGAGUCCGAGUUGUAAUUUGAAGAAGGUAUCUUUGGGUCUGGCUCUUGUCUAUGUUUCUUGGAACAGAACGUCACAGAGGGUGAGAAUCCCGUGCGAUGAGAUGAUCCAGGCCUAUGUAAAGUUCCUUCGAAGAGUCGAGUUGUUUGGGAAUGCAGCUCUAAGUGGGUGGUAAAUUCCAUCUAAAGCUAAAUAUUGGCGAGAGACCGAUAGCGAACAAGUACAGUGAUGGAAAGAUGAAAAGAACUUUGAAAAGAGAGUGAAAAAGUACGUGAAAUUGUUGAAAGGGAAGGGCUUGAGAUCAGACUUGGUAUUUUGUAUGUUACUUCUUCGGGGGUGGCCUCUACAGUUUAUCGGGCCAGCAUCAGUUUGGGCGGUAGGAGAAUUGCGUUGGAAUGUGGCACGGCUUCGGUUGUGUGUUAUAGCCUUCGUCGAUACUGCCAGCCUAGACUGAGGACUGCGGUUUAUACCUAGGAUGUUGGCAUAAUGAUCUUAAGUC
rnacentral:rRNA from 1 species